UGGGGAAUUUUGGACAAUGGGCGAAAGCCUGAUCCAGCAAUGCCGCGUGUGUGAAGAAGGCCUUCGGGUUGUAAAGCACUUUUGUCCGGAAAGAAAUCCUUGGCUCUAAUACAGUCGGGGGAUGACGGUACCGGAAGAAUAAGCACCGGCUAACUACGUGCCAGCAGCCGCGGUAAUACGUAGGGUGCAAGCGUUAAUCGGAAUUACUGGGCGUAAAGCGUGCGCAGGCGGUUUGCUAAGACCGAUGUGAAAUCCCCGGGCUCAACCUGGGAACUGCAUUGGUGACUGGCAGGCUAGAGUAUGGCAGAGGGGGGUAGAAUUCCACGUGUAGCAGUGAAAUGCGUAGAGAUGUGGAGGAAUACCGAUGGCGAAGGCAGCCCCCUGGGCCAAAUACUGACGCUCAUGCACGAAAAGCGUGGGGAGCAAACAGGAUUAGAUACCCUGGUAGUCCACGCCCUAAACGAUGUCAACUAGUUGUUGGGGACUUCAUUUCCUUAGUAACGUAGCUAACGCGUGAAGUUGACCGCCUGGGGAGUACGGUCGCAAGAUUAAAACUCAAAGGAAUUGAC
rnacentral:rRNA from 1 species